ACGAACGCUGGCGGCAUGCCUCACACAUGCAAGUCGAACGAGACCUUCGGGUCUAGUGGCGCACGGGUGCGUAACGCGUGGGAACCUGCCCUUAGGUUCGGAAUAACUCCCCGAAAGGGGUGCUAAUACCGGAUAAUGUCUUCGGACCAAAGAUUUAUCGCCUUUGGAUGGGCCCGCGUUGGAUUAGCUAGUUGGUAGGGUAAAAGCCUACCAAGGCGACGAUCCAUAGCUGGUCUGAGAGGAUGAUCAGCCACACUGGGACUGAGACACGGCCCAGACUCCUACGGGAGGCAGCAGUGGGGAAUAUUGGACAAUGGGCGAAAGCCUGAUCCAGCAAUGCCGCGUGAGUGAUGAAGGCCUUAGGGUUGUAAAGCUCUUUUACCCGGGAAGAUAAUGACAGUACCGGGAGAAUAAGCUCCGGCUAACUCCGUG
rnacentral:rRNA from 1 species